GGAUGCGAUCAUACCAGCACUAAAGCACCGGAUCCCAUCAGAACUCCGGAGUUAAGCAUGCUUGGGCGAGAGUAGUACUAGGAUGGGUGACCUCCUGGGAAGUCCUCGUGUUCCAUUCC
rnacentral:rRNA from 1 species